rnacentral:rRNA from 1 species
UGAAGAGUUUGAUCAUGGCUCAGAUUGAACGCUGGCGGCAGGCCUAACACAUGCAAGUCGAACGGUAACAGGAAGCAGCUUGCUGCUUCGCUGACGAGUGGCGGACGGGUGAGUAAUGUCUGGGAAACUGCCUGAUGGAGGGGGAUAACUACUGGAAACGGUGGCUAAUACCGCAUAACGUCGCAAGACCAAAGAGGGGGACCUUCGGGCCUCUUGCCAUCAGAUGUGCCCAGAUGGGAUUAGCUAGUUGGUGAGGUAACGGCUCACC